CAUACUGCACUAAUCAGUCAGGUCGAGUCGUUUGCACUAUUCAGACAGAAGUUCAUCAUUUGGCGAUAUUGCACUCGUCCCGGCCUGAGUGUUAGCUGCUAUUAU